CACGGAGGAGUCUUUCCUCAUGUCGGAACAGGAAAAGAGAGUGAGGAGGAAGGAGCAGCAGAGAAAGGAUGUGAUGAACUGACCACAAGCCCCACAAGCCCCACAAGCCCCACUCCCCAUCGCCCUGUGCUGCUGGAGGUAGACGGGAUGUUGGUAGGCUGAUUUAGCACACAGAUGAGACAGUUCCUUGUCGUCAGCUGCUGCAUUUGUGUCCUGCCCAGCAGAGAGCAACUGGACAUGAGAAUUACAUGAAGAAUCCCCUGAAACAG